rnacentral:tRNA from 1 species
GACGGAGUAGCUCAGGUGGUUAGAGCAGCGGAAUCAUAAUCCGCGUGUCGGGGGUUCAAGUCCCUCCUCCGCUACCA